AAUCAGUUAAUUAUACACACACUUCAAAAUUUAAGCUAAUUAUUUUAAGAAAUUUAUAAUUGCGAAAAUUAUAUGAAAUAUAUUAACUAAAUCUGUAAAAAUAAUUAACCGCUCAUUCAAAUUUUAGAAUUAAAUUAGUGUUGACUAACUCAACUCAAAUAAAUUGAAGAAUUAGUUACUAAAAUCAAAAUUUGAAAGAUUGAUUAGUUAACUCGAAAUGGUCUAUAACUCAAAUAAAUUCUGUACGUUUUUUCCUUUAAAAUGUAAAUUAUCUUGUAUGUAAUCCAUUAAUUCUAAAAAUCCUAUAAAACUUACAAACCUAAUGUAAUAGAAAAAAUUACUAAAAAAAUUAUGUUAAUAAAUUAUUGACAACUUCAUAUAGAAAUAAUCACGUCAGUUUAAACAAUCUUAUUCGACCAGCAAAUAAUUCUGUGCUAAUAUUGUCGAUAUGUUAAAUAAGAUGUGUAUCAAAACAAAGUAGCGUGUUGUAUUUAUAUCUGAUGAUAUUAUGAAACGUCUCGUGCCAAUAGCACAAUAAUUCUUUAAUUAUAUAAAAAAUAUUUUUUUAAUAUUUAUGUGUUUUAAUUUUUAUAUUAAUUU
rnacentral:lncRNA from 1 species